rnacentral:rRNA from 1 species
UACGAGGGGGGCAAGCGUUGUUCGGAAUUAUUGGGCGUAAAGAGCUCGUAGGCGGUCUGUCGCGUCGGCUGUGAAAUCCCGAGGCUCAACCUCGGGUCUGCAGUCGAUACGGGCAAACUAGAGUAUUGCAGGGGAGACUGGAAUUCCUGGUGUAGCGGUGAAAUGCGCAGAUAUCAGGAGGAACACCGGUGGCGAAGGCGGGUCUCUGGGCAAUAACUGACGCUGAGGAGCGAAAGCGUGGGGAGCGAACAGG